GGGUGGGGAGGCGGUUGUGAGGGAGCGAAAGGAGAGCAGCGAGGCGGCGCCCGAGCUCCCGAGGAGAGGGCUCGGGGUGCGAGUGGGUGACGCGAGGCGCUCCUCCCCGGGGUGCAGGGAGAGCGCGCUCAGCGCGUGGAGACGCUGCCGGGCUCGCGUCUCCUCCUUGCCGGGUAGAUCCGGAGGAAUGCGGAGCUCCGAGCAGUCCAACCGAAGGGGGCAAUCUGAACUUGACCGCGGCGCCCGCGCCGGGCUAUGCCCCCGCGCCCCGCGCUGUGAGGGAGAGCGCUCCGUCGGGUGGAGGGCUACACUGGGCUUUCCUCGCGCCUGUCGAAGGCUUUCCUUUCUUCCCGGGGAUCUAGCCCUCUCGCUUUUCUGCGAGGCAGAAGGCAGCGGGGACGAGAGGAGCUGCUUGCUGGAGUCCUCCUAGCACUACGAAGGAGUGUGGAGAGAUGUGGAGCGGCCCAGUGAGGGAGGCAGAGUGUUUGCCAGGGGACGCUGAGAGUGGGGAUGAAUUUAUAAGGCUCUCACUCUGUGACGUGCCCUCCAGUGGCUUUUCUGAUUCGCUUUCUGACCUAAACACACAUUAGUUUAGUCCCCAUGCUAGGGCCAACACGGUCUCCAAAUACCUGCUGGCUGAAGUCAGAGGCUUUGCAUAUCAUGUAUUACAUGGCAGGCAACGAAGAAGGCUUCUGAGGCUGGCCGGCUCCUCAGUCCUAGGCUCCAUUUUCAUGCUGUUGUAAUAGAAUACCAGACGUGGGGUAGGCACAUACAUUCAAAAUCCCAAUUCCACAGGGGUAAGAUCAUUUUAUCAGGAACAGGUCAAGGGAGGUUGGGCUAAACCUGCUCUUAUCCAGAUUUUCGAAAAUGCAGAUGGGUAACCGAAGCGAGCACUCCCUUGGGUGCUGGGUUUCCAGUGAGAGCAGGGACCCAGCUCCCAUUCCCGAUUUCUGUGACACCUUUGAGGCAUUCCUUUUGUUGGUUAGCUUACCACCAGAAGCAGCCGGAGCCUUCUUUUGUAGAGGACAUGAAGAGGGCAAGUCCUUACACACACCCUGCCCAUGACUCUCCCCAUAAAUUCACACAGGGCAUGAAAUUAGCUCUGCCUUUAAAAUAAUGUACUAAAUAAGGUACGUCUUUGCUAUGCAGAGCCUGCUUUCCGGAAGCCACUGGACCCGAAUUGAGUGGGACCUCUUUUAUUUUAUUAGCUGGGGCCAGGGAAAGGGUAAACAGGCUCAGUUUACAUCCAUGUAUCUCUAAUUGUGUGACUCAUCCGGUUGUUGGGGAGUAUGUGUUCUUCAAGUAGCGAAUACAGACAAUAGACAAGGGGAAUGUGUGGCAAUGUGGGGAGAAGAUCAUGUAUUAUUAAACUUCUUAAAAGUCAAAGAUCAGCUACUUUGGAGGUUUGUCAGUGAAGCUGGUGUGGGAGGAAAAUUGUUCUUACUAAUGUUACUGUGAUUUAAGAUGAAGCGGAGUGAAAAUCAAGUCAUCCAAACAUACCUUAGCUGAAGUUUGGAUGCUCACUGUAGUUCUGCAGAAUGUGACAUUUCCUUCUUUGAUAGGUUUAUGGUAGAAAUGUGCAUGGGCUUGGGAAUGGGAGGUCAGAAUAAGCUUAAUAAGAUGUGUCGUAGCUUAGCAUUGUUUUUGGAAUUUGAAGGCGACCCUAGUCAGUGUUCCUACCAUGAACGAUAUCUUCAUUUUCAGAAGGUUUUUCACUGGGGAUGAUCAUGCUGUCCAGGCACCUGCAAUGAUUUAGCAUUUGUUACUGUGCUAGACCCUGGGAAUGUGCUGGCUGGGCUUUUUGGGGUUACAGAGAACAGAUAGCACUGAGUUUACCCUAAGUAAUGGGAGUUUGCUGUGGAAGGAAGGCUGACCGGAAUCUCCACCACUCAGCCACGUGUCUCCGAAAAGCCUUCCGGAAAGGCCACCCAGCCAGGCCUCACGAAAACUGGAUUGAAGUUCAGGAACUGGAAGGUCAUUCAGGAUACGGCUCUGUGACUGGGUUAUCUCGCUGCCCCCUGAGCAGCAGGCAUCUGCGAUCCCUACCAGCAGGCUUAGCCGCCAAGGUUUUUGUGAUGGCCAUUCAAAUUGAGAACAAGGAUCUAGGAUCUUCUGACUCCCCCCAUUCAGUGUGAGGGGCUUUGGAGUCUGACUUCCUAAACUCAAUCUCAGGACUGUUGGCAGGAAUAAAUGAGGAUGGGGCACAAGGAAUUAGACCAAGCCCAGACCCAGACUUGCCACUCAGCCUUGCUCAUCAACACCACCAACUGGGAAUUGGCCAGAUCAAGCACCAUUUACCCCAGAAACACCCAGCCAGCUCACUGGGUAGUUGGUGGACCUUCGAGGUGGCUACACUGCUUCGAUGCCAAAGCUCCUUCUCCUAUGUGACAACUGUCUGAUUCAUUUCUAGAUGUAGAAUUACAGGGCCAAAGGUAAUGAAACUUUUAUUCUUUCUACACAUAACCAGCAAUAUUCCAGAAAGACCUGAUUAAUUUUGCUACCAAAAGUAAUGUUUGAGAAUGCCUAUUUCAUGCAUGGCCAAUGAAAACAUUAAAAAACUUACAUAAUUAGAUACAAAUCUUUGUUAUUGUUUUGAGAUUACAAAACUGGCAAGAUUUUAUAGGCAGCAGGACCUGCUGCUGAAUCAGGACCAGGGUGCAGUCAGUGAUGAUAGGUGAGAUUUUUCAGUGUGUCUUCCUCAUUAGUCAGUUGCUGGAUUCUUCUCCCUUCCUUUCUCCUCUCUUGGUGGUCAUAGUGCUAUUAUCCAGAUCUUUCUGACUCUUUGACUUCCAUGCACGGGGGAGGAUUUUACUUCCUGACCCCCUUGUUAUUUGGGUGACUAGGGUUGGGCCACAUGACCUAUUCUGGGCAGGAAGAUGUGAACGGACGUGAUGUGUGUCCCCACCAGACCAAGCAUGUAAUUGCUGGUGCGAGAUUGUGCUCCCCUCUCCCACGUGUGUGGCUACAUGUGACGAAGAUGUGCUGGAGUGAGAAAGAGGCCUUUUCUUGGCCUUUGAGAUUUGAGUAGUGUUUGUUGCCACAGCAUAAACUAGCCUGUUCUGAAUGUGGUAUCUUCUCUUCCCUCCCGACAUUUGUGACAAGUCACCCGUAUCCAGCAUACAGUCACAAGGCCUUUGCCAUGAGCCUAAUGGUUGGGAGUCAACAGAAAUGAUUUGAGUCUCGUGUUAUAUAAUUGUCAUAAGAUGCUUAAUACAAUUACCACUUAAUUUUUUAAAACCAUAUUUAUGUUAAGGAAGCAAAAAGCAAGUACCUUUGUUUAUGCCGAGGGGUCCAAGAACAAAGACGCUGAUGGUGGCAGGGUGGGAAGGGGAGAGAUAUUGAUGGUGGGCUCGGGGAGAGAUGGAGGUCUGACCCGUUGGUCCUGUAGAUGCAGAGUCUGUGGCUUUAAGCUUCCCAAGGUAGGACAAAAAGGCUAAGCCCAGGAGCCUGUCAAAAAAAAGGCUUCCGCUGUGUGCACAGUGUGUGUGUGAAAUCGUGAAGAAACCACAUGCCCAGUGGAAAAUAAUGCUGAGCAGAUCUUGAUACAAGGCGGUGUGGUCUUGCUCCUCUGUUUACAGAGGAAUCCUUUCAUGCAGGCAUGAUAAAUGGAGGAUUUAAACCACUGAGCUCCUCUAAGCUAACAGGCCGUUUGUCUCGAAGUUUCCAGGUUUCCAGGCUGUCUUCAAGGAGUACACCAUUGACUUUGAAAUUAGUUGUUAUGCGGAAAGAUACAUUCUGAGUCUCUGAAUUGUCAAGCUGCAGGAACUUGUCACGCCAGUGCUGUCCUGGAGUCCAGCUCUGUUCCGGCCCUCCCUUCUGUCCCGCGAGGUCGUCCUGUGGGUGAAUUCGGCUCUUUUCUGCUUCUAGAUGCUGGCACCUGCACUCCUCCUCCUUGCUCUUCUUGAGCAUCAGUAUUUCCAACUUCUAUUUUCUAGUUUUAUUUUGUUUGUUUGUCUGUUUCUAUGAUAUAGAGAACCUCUGAAUUUCCUUGAAGGGAAAAGGAGUUUUAGAAGAAGCGGAUGGUUUCUCAGAUUGCGCUCAAGGGUGUUUUCUUUAGUUUGUAGAUUUUUCAGGAGCGAAAACACUUUGGUUGAUGAUGUGUGUAUGGGCGCGUGUGUGAGAGAUCUACCACCACAGGAAAGAAAGGAUAUGUGUUACACCUUUCUCUUUUAAAUUAAAGCAAGUUGUGAUCUUUUUAGAGGAUGUUUCAGAAUGCCCUUGAAGAGAUGUCCCAGGAUGGCAUCACCCAACCAGACCCAUUACUUUUCUGGAGGCGCUCAGGGAUGAAACUUUUUCUCCUUCCAGAAUACUUUCCUUCUAACCCGUGUCCUUAAUAAUUUAUCAUCUGCAUGACAAUGACCAGAGUUGUAGUUUCUAUGCAGAUUCCUGAGUUAUAUCCCAGACCCACUGAGUCUGGGACCCACUGAGUCCUUGCAGGCCGUGAGCCGGGUACCUGCAUUAAAAAAAAACUUUUUUUUUAAAUGUUUAUUUAUUUUUGAGAGAGAGAGGGAGAC